AGUGAACGCUGGCGGCGUGCCUAAUACAUGCAAGUCGAACGGAGUGGCGCACGGGUGCGUAAUAUAUAGAUAAUCUGCCCCUUGCUGGAGGACAAAAGUUAGAAAUGACUGCUAAUACUCCAUAGCAAGGGAUGAGACGACAGCGUAUCAGCUAGUCGGGGGGGUAACGGCCUACCGAGGCUAUGACGCGUAACUGGUGUGAGAGGAUGAUCAGUUACGUUGGAAGUGAGACACGGUCCGGACUCCUGCGGGAGGCAGCAGAAGGGUAUAUUACGCAAUGCGGGAAACGCUGACACAGCAUCGCCGCGUGGAGGAUGACCCUUUUCGGAGCGUGAGCUCCGUUUGUUAGGGAAGCGGUACCUGACGAAUAAGCACCGGCUAACUCCGUGCCAGCCGCCGCGGUAAUAC
rnacentral:rRNA from 1 species